UUGGGCUUCUCUCCAUAAAUCGAAACCCUAAUCCUCUGCAUCCUCCUUUUAGGAGUUACCAUUUGAAAGACGAGCAAUGAAUCUCUCGACGACGAUGUGGAUUGCGGCGGUCGUCGGCGUUGUCACGGUCUACUGGUUUGUGUGGGUGUUGGGCUCGGCGGAAGUGAAAGGCAAGCGGGCAGUGAACCUUAAGAUGGGAUCGAUCAUGCUGGAUAAGGUGCAGGAGUACUGGUCCUUCUUUCUCCGCUCCAAGGAGGGCCUAGCACCAUUACUAUAUUAGUGAAGUGAUAGCUAGAUCCCCUCAUUUCCCCGAUCUGAUCGCCAUCCGAACUCCUAGGGUUCGACGCCCGACGACUCCUUCUUGUUCCGGCGGCCUCUCCGGCCCUUCCUCUCCCCCUGCAUAUCUUCCAUUCUUGAUGCAGGACAAGGCGGUCGUGGAGGACGGCGAGAAGGAUACUUUUUCGAAGAAGCCGCGCCACUGCAAAGCCGAGAUGUCCCUUACUAAUUCCGAGGAAGACUCUUUCCUCUUUCCCGUGAAGGAGAUCGUCCAGUACCCUCUUCCGGGAUACGUCGCUCCCUCUUCCAUCAGCUUCAGCCCCGAUGGGCGCUUGAUCUCCUAUCUCUUCAGCCCCGAUGGUACCCUCCACCGUAAAGUCUUCGCCUUUGAAGUUGCCUCACAGCGGCAGGAGCUUGUGAUUUGCCCGCCUGAUGGAGGUGGCCUCGAUGAGAGUAAUCUCUCGGCUGAAGAGAAGCUGAGGCGAGAGAGGUCAAGGGAGAGGGGAUUGGGAGUCACGAGGUACGAGUGGAAAUCGAGGUCGACGUCCUCUUCUUGCUCCGCUCCAGGGAAGCCCACUAUCAUGGUGCCAUUGCCAAAUGGGGUAUAUUUCUAGGAAAUAUCAGGCUUAGAGCCAGAGCUCAAGCUUACAUGUUGUGCUAGCUCGCCAAUUAUUGAUCCGCAUCUGUCACUAGAUGGAAGCAUGCUUGCAUAUGUCAGGAAUGAUGAACUCCAUGUUUUAAACCCGUCUGGUGGGGAGCCUAAACAAUUAACUUUUGGAGCAAUUGCAAAUAGAAAGGUGGGAUUCGUUUCUUGUUUAAUGUGUUGCAGAUUGAUUAUAGUUUUUGUAACUUGGAAAUUCUUUUUCAUGUGCUAGUGGUAUGUAUCCCUUACUAUCGGCUUUUUUGUUCUGAUAACUUCCAAUACUUGGGAUUGUCUUCUAACUUGACAUAACUGUUGGGACAAUUUACCGUCUCGUAAGCUAAAUAAUCGGUGGUAAAGGUUACUUGGAGAAUAUUAUAAUUUUAUGUUGAGUCUUCAAGUUCUCUCCUGUUUAUUAUGUAGCUUGCUUGUCUCAUCAUAAAAUGUAGCAGGUCACUGGAACCUGUUGGUAUACUCAUGUAUACCACAGUGCUGCCCCAGGCUGUUUGGGGAGUAUCAGAGCAGCAACACAAUAAGAAGGUUGAGGCGACCAUAAAGGAGUAUCAACUUGAAAUAUGAGAAUAAUCUUUAAGCUCAAUCACAAUUCAAGAUUUAGCAGCAUUUUGAAGAAGAUGGUGUUUCAACAUUGCUCUAAAAGGUGAUAUUAGUAAUUCUUAAUUUAAUAUUCUCCUCUAUUGUAAUAUUAUUUUAAUGGUGAUUGUCUGAGCCUUUGACUUAAUAUUAUAAACCAAUCUAUUCAUGUUGCAGAUUUAUAAUUUUAACCUCCGGUUAAGGAACGAUAGAGGCCACUUAUCACCUUAGUUAAUUUUUAGCAAAAAGUUGUUAAAAAAACUACUUAAAAUGUAUGAUCAUUUAACAUAAUUUUCUCGUCAAGAAUCAGAAACUCUGUGCUUGAUUAGAAUUGCAAUGCUAGAGCUUUUCUUAGUAAUUUUUAUUAUGCAAACUUCAAUUACUCAUGCUUUUGCAGAUCUCGUCAAAAUCUCUCUAGCACAUCAUCGUUUUACAAUUUUUUUUGUUAUCUUUGUUGGAUGAUAUUAAUAUUAUUUUGACUUAGCCAUCCUCCUCUGAUUUAUUUGUUCUGACUUUGUCACAUUUUAAUUUACUCUUGUGCUAACCAAGUCAAUGUAGACUUUCUCAUUGCAGAGCAAAUGUAAAGAGAAUAAGGACUCGUUCAAGAAGGUGAGCCGCAAAGUGAGACGAUCUCAAGAACUGCUAAUUAACGACUAAUCUUCACUUUCAAGAAUUGUGUUACUCGCAAGAUGAUCAUAAAACUCUGUUUUAAAUUUAUGCACCAUAUUUCUGGUCAUAUUACAAUACUACAAAUUUUUAGACAUCUCUUUCUAUCGAGAUGUAAAACAACAUAAUCCUGCCAGUUUGUAACAAUAGAAUGCUAUUUUCAUUUUCCAUGCAGUAUAAUCAAAUACUCCUAACGACAUUAUGCAACAAAAGCUUGUUGUUGGUUUACCUGAUACCAAAUGGAGAUUGUGAUAACGAGAAUGAAGAGGAUGAACACUGGCCAUGCAACUUGAGACAUGAGAAUGAUGAUGCAUAGAAGUUGAACAAGUGCAAAAGCUGAUCCUGCCAGUCUGUAUGGGAUAUCAGUGUCAAUGGUUGUCUGAUCUGAUGAAGACUGGAAAAGAAUUAGUUGCUUCUUCGGAAUAUGGAAUCCUUCAUUUGUUUAGUCAUCACCAGUUACAGGAAUUUUUAUUAAUUGAAAGGGAAUGCUCAUUACACGCAAUGGAUUACGAAGAAGAGUUGUCUGUCAUUAAUUCUCAACAAGAAUGAUGCCUACCUACGCCAACAGUGAUAUCAGAGUCCAACCACUUCAGAAGGACUAACUACCGACUGAAGUACAAAGACGAUGGUCAGACCCAACAUCUAUCUGCCUAAGUUCGAGGAGUAGUUCGCAACAUCCCUCAUAGACCAAUAAGGAGCUGAAAAGGAGGAUUACCAAUGGACCAAAAAAGAACAAGUCGACUUUGUAGCGAAUGGACAAGUUGAGUCCCACCUGUUGAGUAUACUUCCACCCCAAGAAGUUACUCAAAUCAGAACCUACAAAUCAGUAAAAAAUCUUUGGGAGAGGUUCUUGGAGCUACAUGAAGAAACGUCCGAAGCAAAGCUCACGAGAUGAGACCUGUUCUGAAACCAAAUCAACAACCUCCAGAUGGAAGAAGGUGAAUAGGUUUCUCAUCUAUAUGGAAGAAUCAUGGAGCUAAUCACCGGAUUAACGAACCUUGGAGAAAUGGUAACUAAUCAGGACGCACAAAUGUAUGCUUUAAAUGUAUUCAUGAGAAAACCAAAAUGGACAUCUAUAGUAGAUUCCUACUAUAUCUCCAAAGACCUCGAGGUAAGUAUACUCAAAAAUCUUUUUCUACUUUUGAAUUACACAAGUCUCGGUGUGCAGGACAAAGAAAGGGACCAAAUCAUAACCUAGCACUGCAAGCCUAGAAGAGUGGACUAAAUUCAAACUCAUCAAUUGACGAAGACGAAGUAGCCUUCAUGGUAAGAAAAUUCUCUAAGUUUUUUAAAUCUAAUAAAUUUAAAAAGUCGCAGGCCAAAAGGUUUGUUCUAGGAAAAUAGAAAAUAAGAUGCUAUAAUUGUCAAGAAGAAGGGUGCAUCAAGAAUGACUGCUCGAAACUGAAAAAGAAGGAGAAAAACAAAGGACCAGCAAACCAAAGCACAAAAAUCUGAAGGCAACGUAGGAUGAGUCAUCAUCGGAGUCUAAACUGGAGAUGUAUAUCAGACUAGCACUCAUGGCGAGUCACCUAGAGGAGAGUAUCGAUGAAGGAGAAGCUACAUCUGAGGAAAGCAGCACCGAAGGGGAGCAUUCAACUUCAAACAUGAUAUGGUAAGUGAGGUAUGUCUUCUACCUCCUGA